rnacentral:sRNA from 1 species
UUUUUUUUUAACCUAACCGCUACCGCCCGCAACCGCAAACGCUUGCGGGAAGGAGCUUUUGAAAUCUGGCUAUUUCGAAUGGUUCAAAACGGUAUUUAGCGGUUUUUAUGAUUGGUGUCAAUCGCUAACAACCGCCACCAUCCGCAAACGCUGCGUUUGCGGAUGGCAAAGGGAGAACCAAACAAGCCCUUAAUUAAGUACAUGUGAUGUUCCAGCCAUUCCGGCAUAUUACAUGAAUCC